CGCAGGAGAGCUUGCUCUGUGGAUCAUUGGCGAACGGGUGAGUAACACGUGAGCAAUCUGCCCCUGACUCUGGGAUAAGCGCUGGAAACGGCGUCUAAUACCGGAUACGAGCUGCGACCGCAUGGUCAGUAGCUGGAAAGAAUUUCGGUCAGGGAUGAGCUCGCGGCCUAUCAGCUUGUUGGUGAGGUAAUGGCUCACCAAGGCGUCGACGGGUAGCCGGCCUGAGAGGGUGACCGGCCACACUGGGACUGAGACACGGCCCAGACUCCUACGGGAGGCAGCAGUGGGGAAUAUUGCACAAUGGGCGCAAGCCUGAUGCAGCAACGCCGCGUGAGGGAUGACGGCCUUCGGGUUGUAAACCUCUUUUAGCAGGGAAGAAGCGAAAGUGACGGUACCUGCAGAAAAAGCGCCGGCUAACUACGUGCCAGCAGCCGCGGUAAUACGUAGGGCGCAAGCGUUAUCCGGAAUUAUUGGGCGUAAAGAGCUCGUAGGCGGUCUGUCGCGUCUGCUGUGAAAACCCGAGGCUCAACCUCGGGCCUGCAGUGGGUACGGGCAGACUAGAGUGCGGAGGGGGAGAUUGGAAUUCCUGGUGUAGCGGUGGAAUGCGCAGAUAUCAGGAGGAACACCGAUGGCGAAGGCAGAUCUCUGGGCCGUAACUGACGCUGAGGAGCGAAAGGGUGGGGAGCAAACAGGCUUAGAUACCCUGGUAGUCCACCCCGUAAACGUUGGGAACUAGUUGUGGUGUCCAUUCCACGGAUUCCGUGACGCAGCUAACGCAUUAAGUUCCCCGCCUGGCGGAGUACAGCCGCAAGGCUAAAACUCACAGGAAUUGACGGGGACGCGCACAAGCGGCGGAGCAUGCGGAUUAAUUCGAUGCAACGCGAAGAACCUUACCAAAGCUUGACAUAUAAAGGACACGUC
rnacentral:rRNA from 1 species